GACGCCACGUCAUGCGGAGCGGUCGGAUGCUCUGCACCUGCAGCACCCUGCAGCAGAAAUGUCGCAGGUCAGCCGACGGGGAUCUAAGCAUGGUGGCUGUGGCUGAUACCCAGGAUGAUGUAAUCAAGUGCGGUUUAUCACAUUUGGUCGCCAAAGGUGCAGGUGAUUCAGCUGCCGCUAAGAAGGAGCAUGCUUGACGCAAGCGACGAGCGCCUGUUCAUGGACUGCUCCAUGAAUUCAUCUUUGCUUUAAUGUCAAAAGUUAGCGCAGUUGAGAUGGACUUAAACCCACCUCCUUAGAGAGAAAAUUCUUCUCAGAUACAGGGGUAGGGGCCCGUCCACCGUGCUGUCACGCCGCCCGAGGGAAAAUUGUUUUUAUACAGCGAUCGUGUCAUGAGAUAAUAAUACCUAGGAAAGCCGGUUAUCGUAGAAUGAAUGUCUCGAAUUUAGAAUGCAAAAUUCACUUGCAUAUG